UGAGACCGAUAGCAAACAAGUACCGUGAGGGAAAGUUGCAAAGAACUUUGAAGAGAGAGUUCAAGAGUACGUGAAAUUGCUCAGAGGUAAACGGGUGGGCCCUCGAAAUCCUGUGGCGAGAGGAUUCAGUCUGGCUCGAUAGACCUGCAGUAGGAAGACUCGAGUAGAGCUUCCUGUGACAGGGGCUGUCCUAUUGUGGGGCUUCUGUCGKUCCAGAUGCAUUUGUCUCUUGUCCGGAGGACGCAGCAGCCGGUUUGGAAGUGCAAGCAYGGCGGCCUGAAGUGCGGGUAAUGGCAGGUGGCCGGYGGCUCGCYUCGUGCGGGUUGUCGGUUGUUAGCCGUCCCAUMAGUGGCUCGUCUCCAGACCGAGGURUCRCRAGUCCCGUCAGGGACUCUUCGUCUCCACCCCRUAGUCGCGAGACUGGUCKUGGCAAGGGCUCCGUAUUYCCAYCGUCGCACUACUAAGGAGUGGGCGGAGGGCUGCGGGUCCCYGUUGGCUGYGACGGACUCGUYGGGGGCUCGAGGCUGGCAGCGAGUAGGUCGGUCACCCACCCGACCCGUCUUGAAACACGGACCAAGGAGUCUAACAUGUGCGCGAGUCAAUGGGUCUUGACUAGGCCCAGGGGCGCAAUGAAAGCGAAGGAUUGCCUAGCGCAGUCURAGUGGGGAUCCCUCUCUCUCGGGAGGGGGCGCACCCACGACCCGUCCUAUCUGAYUCGUCAGUUGGGCGGAGUCUGAGCGUACACGUUGGGACCCGAAAGAUGGUGAACUAUGCCCGGACAGGACGAGGCCAGAGGAAACUCUGGUGGAGGUCCGCAGCGG
rnacentral:rRNA from 1 species